rnacentral:tRNA from 1 species
GCCGAUGUGGUGGAAUUGGUAGACACGAUAGACUCAAAAUCUAUUCUUAGCAAUAGGGUGCCGGUUCGAGUCCGGCCGUCGGCA